rnacentral:tRNA from 1 species
GGAGGAGUGGCCGAGUGGUCGAAGGCGGCGGACUUGAAAUCCGCUGAAUCCGCAAGGGUUCCGGGGGUUCGAAUCCCUUCUCCUCCG